AGCGCGUGUAGGCGGUUUGAUUAGUCUGAUGUGAAAGCCCUGGGCUCAACCCAGGAAGUGCAUUGGAAACUGUCAGACUUGAAUACGGGAGAGGGUAGUGGAAUUCCUAGUGUAGGAGUGAAAUCCGUAGAUAUUAGGAGGAACACCGGUGGCGAAGGCGGCUACCUGGACCGAUAUUGACGCUGAGACGCGAAAGCGUGGGUAGCAAACAGGAUUAGAUACCCUGGUAGUCCACGCCGUAAACGAUGAGUACUAGGUGUUGCGGGUAUUGACCCCUGCAGUGCCGCAGCUAACGCAUUAAGUACUCCGCCUGGGAAGUACGGUCGCAAGACUAAAACUCAAAUGAAUUGACG
rnacentral:rRNA from 1 species